rnacentral:lncRNA from 1 species
AAAAAUGCUAAAAAAACCAAGAAUAUUAAAGAUGAAAUGUCAUAAAAAAACGUAAAUUAAAUUAAAAGUGGGUAAAAAAGAAAAUUACCAAAAACUUGAAAAUACGAGCUUGAUGAACAGAAUAAUCGACCUUUUUUCCUAUUUUUCCUAUUUUCUUCUUUUCUCUUUCUUUUUUCUCUUUUUCUUCUCUUUUCUUUUUCUUUUUUUUUUCUGCUGGGCUAAUGGGCGAACUGGGCCUAUUGGGCUGUUGUAGGUUGAGCUGUUGGGCCGCUGGAGUUGGGCCUGUGCUGGGCUGCUGCAGGCUUGCUAAUUUGGAUGCUAUUGGGCUAGCCUAAUAGGCCUGCUAUGGGCUGCUUUUUUUUUAUGCUUUUUUUCUUUUUUCUUUUUCUUUUUCUUCUUCUUCCUUUCUUUUUCAAAACCCUAGCCCCACGUCGCCGCUUGUGCUGUCGCCGUCGUCUUCGCCGUCGAGCCGCCGUCGGAGGCUCUCCUCUACUUCUCUUUUCUUCUCUCUUUCUCUCCUUUUUCCUCUUCUUUUUCUCUUUUUUGCAAGUUUUUUUUUUGAUUUUUUCGUGGGUGUGGGGGUUCCGAUUUUGGGGGUUUAAACCCAUUUUAUAGUUGUUUUUCUCUUCUUUUUUUGCAGAGAUUAGGUGGCUAGGGGAGAGGGAGGCCAUGCCUUAGGCCGGUGACCGGAAAUCACGAAAAUCAAGGGUGUAGGUGUGCAAGUUGCUGUCAGAAGGACCAAAUUGCAAACACAGCAAAAUUUCUGGGGCCAAAGUGUAAUUGCAAGAAAAUUUUGGGUCAAAAUGUAAUUUUGAGAUAGUUCAGCGGUCAAAAUGAAAUUUCAAAAGGUUUAAAGGUCAUAAUGUAAUUUUAAAAAGUUUAGUGGUUAAAAUGCAAUUUUAAAAAGUUUAGGGGUCAAAAUAUAAUUUUUUAUUUUUUGUAUUUUUUGAUUUUUUUAUUAAAAAAAGAAAUCGAGCCGGACAAAAUUCAGUGAUUACAAACAUGUAUCAGGGUUUCAUCA